AAGUGCCGCAGGUUUUCACUUCCCCCUUUCUGUCACUCGCUGCACUCGUCCGCAGACGCGCACCCGGAGGGGUCUUCCUCUUUCUCACACGUCUUGUCGUCUUCGUCAUGGGGUACGGUGGCCCACGGGUGGAGUUCUACACUGCCAACCAGUACAGCAACUUCGCCGCCGCCAUCGAUCGGGAAAAUGCGGCGCGUGUGCGGAGUAUCGUGCACAGACGCAAAUUGCCUGGAGAGCAGGAGGCGCAACGCCAGCGCGAGGCGGCCUUCCGCGCGUACGAGCGGGCGCGAGCCGACGAGGUUGCGCGCGUGCACGCCGAAGAGGCCGAGGCGCUCGAGCGGCGCCGCGUCAAAGACGAGCGCGCGCAGCGGCGCCUAGCGACCAAGACGUGUCGUCGCUCUCUCACUGCUGCCGAGGUCGCCUCGCGUCGCUCGCGACACGCCUGCCUUUGCCGCCUCGCUGAGCCGCGCAAGUACCAGGAGGCAAUGUAUGGCAGCGGCAUGAUUGGCGGCGCCAUGCCGCACCAGAGAGGACGCGACGGAAAGUUGCCUACGGUGGGACGCAACGGUGCCGUUUACUGCGCUGGCGUGGAUCGCGACCGCAUCGUUCCAUCGCGGCCGGCACUCGAGGGCACGGUGCCUCCGUGGAGGGGCAGCUACAGCACUCACCACGGCCCCCAUAAGCUGGACGCGCAGAUGGCGAAGGAGGCUGCGGCGUACUACUGCGCGCACCCCGCGCCUCAGCGAAGCGCUAGUCAGCAGGACAUGCGGCAGAAAACGCUUCAGAGCAUUGCGGCAGAGCACUCGAUGGAGGCUCAGCAGGAUGGCGCUGACGUCGGCAUGGCGGACGCAUCAGGCGAGAAGGGAAGGAGCAGUGCAGCGGACGCGGAGCAGCGGCAUCGCAUGGGCUCCGACAACGUAGAUGACGAGACGGGGUCCAUCUUCAGCCACGGCUCCUCGAACGGGCCCAUCGUCGCCACUGGCAACAUGCACCUGAGCACCACCUCCACCAAGAACAGCGUUCAGCUGCACCUUAGCCGCUAUGGGGGCGCCAUGACAGCACCGCGGCCGCGGCGGCCUUCCAAGGCGGCGUCGGAGAACUUGACGCUGCCUGAACUAGCCGACCGCCUUGUGUGCAUACAGAUGUCCAAGUCCGUAGUGCGAUAGCGCCACAGCAGAGUCGGAUCUCUCUCUCUCUCUGUGCACCUUUUCUUCUUCAUGUACAGUGUGCUCCUUUUCCUUCGUCCCUCAC
rnacentral:misc_RNA from 1 species